UGUCAUGAUGAGCGUAAUUUGCGAUUGAUACCGUGCAGAUGGCCCCCUUUCGCCGGGGCGGCUAUAUCUCGCGGCCACAUGAUAGUCCUUCUUACAUAUUCUGAAC
rnacentral:snoRNA from 1 species